UGGGGAAUAUUGGACAAUGGGCGCAAGCCUGAUCCAGCCACGCCGCGUGAGUGAUGAAGGCCUUCGGGUCGUAAAGCUCUGUGGGGAGGGACGAACCGCUGCCAAUUAAUACCUGGCAGCAUGACGGUACCUCCUUAGCAAGCACCGGCUAACUCUGUGCCAGCAGCCGCGGUAAUACAGAGGGUGCAAGCGUUAAUCGGAAUUACUGGGCGUAAAGCGCAUGUAGGUGGACAAGUAAGUUGGAUGUGAAAGCCCCGGGCUCAACCUGGGAAUGCCAUUCAAAACUGCUUGACUAGAGUAUGGUAGAGGGAAGUGGAAUUUCAGGUGUAGCGGUGAAAUGCGUAGAUAUCUGAAGGAACACCAGUGGCGAAGGCGACUUCCUGGACCAAUACUGACACUAAGAUGCGAAAGCGUGGGUAGCGAACAGGAUUAGAUACCCACGUAGUCCCUGAGCGGGCUGGCAAGGCGCAU
rnacentral:rRNA from 1 species